UUAGCACUUUUGUGUUAACAAUCCGGUUCCAUCUCCACAGUUUCUCCUUUUAACAAUGCUGAGAAGCAAGCCAGGCAGACGUUGAGAGAACCAACAUGCAGAAGGGGUGGAGUUGUCAGAAGGCACACAGGCAACCCAGCACGUACUGUCUGUGUGUGUGCUCAGCCUGCUGCUGUGGGCAAACAGGAAUUUGAUGGAGAUUUUUGGUAGCUGGGUCAAGGGUGACAUGGCAAUGAAGCAAAGGCCAUGCAUGCAAGGCAUGCGAAGAUCUUAGUUCCUUGACCAGAGAUUGAACCUGUGACCCCUGCAUCAGGAGCAUGGAGUUUUAACCACCGGACCACCAAGGAAGUUCCUAAAUCUUCAGUUUUUAUGACAACCUGCUUGGGAUGAGACAGCUAAGGAAGAGAGAGAAGCUUGCUUCACGUCAGUGGCCAGCAGAGGGGCAGGCUCUGUGUCAAGGAUGUGUGUUCUCUGGUUUCGAAAAGGCUUGUCUGGGGACUACUGAGGGGGUCCCCCCACACCAGUGACGUUCCUGGCAACCCGGGGCCUCAUGUGGUUCUAGGUUUCUUCCCACCAGAAAAAGGAGCUCAUGGAUGCCCUUAGUGACGUAAUAUGCCCUCUCCCGUGGAAGGUCUGGAUUUCUGAAGCAGACUCCUGGAAGAGGGCAAUGCUUGUUCCCAAAGCUCAAGCAUGAGGGCCUCUUGGGUUCUGUGGCAGCUGGACGCGGAGUCUUCACUAGGCCAUCUCACAGAGCGCAGUGGACCACGGGGAAGUCCCCACAGCCUGCUUUUGGUGACUUUUCCAGAGAGGAAAGCCUCCCAUUGAAGACCCCUGGCUUCCUUGAUGAUAACUUCUCUAUGAUGGAUCCGAGGAUGAACUUUGGAGACAAGGUAUAUUCUUUAUUUUUUAUCUCUUUAUUUUGAAAUAAUUUCAGGCUUGCAAGACUAGUGCAAAGCAUUCCUAUACACCCUUCAUCCAACUUCUCCAAAUGUUACAGUAAACUCUGUAAAAUAAUGAAAACUAGGAAAUCAACAUCAGUACAAUACUGUGAACAGACUCUGUUCACGUUUUGUCAUCGGCCUCGUUAAUGUCCUUUUUCUAUCCCUUUUAUGCAUUUAAUCAAGCAAUACAUAUCCUUUUCUAUUUUCUUUUCCAAUUAAAAAAUUUAUUUUGCUGAAGCA